CCCGAGUCGGGGCCGUUGGUUGGUGCGCGGCUGAGGGGUGUGGCGCGAGCAGCGUCGUUGGUUGGCCGGCAGCGGGCCGGGACGGGCAUGGCCCUGCUGCUGUGCCUGGUGUGCCUGACGGCGGCGCUGGCCCAAGGCUGUCUGCACUGCCACAGCAACUUCUCCAAGAAGUUCUCCUUCUACCGCCAGCAUGUGAACUUUAAGUCCUGGUGGGUGGGCGACAUCCCCGUGUCAGGGGCGCUGCUCACCGACUGGAGCGACGACACGAUGAAGGAGCUGCACCUGGCCAUCCCCGCCGAGAUCACCCGGGAGAAGCUGGACCAAGUGGCGACAGCAGUGUACCAGAUGAUGGAUCAGCUGUACCAGGGGAAAAUGUACUUCCCCGGGUAUUUCCCCAACGAGCUGCGAAACAUCUUCCGGGAGCAGGUGCACCUCAUCCAGAACGCCAUAAUCGAAAGGCACCUGGCACCGGGCAGCUGGGGAGGAGGGCAGCUCUCCAGGGAGGGACCCAGCCCAGCACCUGAAGGAUCAAUGCCAUCACCCCGCGGGGACCUCCCCUAAGUAGCCCCCAGAGGCGCUGGGAGUGUUGCCACCGCCCUCCCCUGAAGUUUGCUCCAUCCCACGCUGGGGGUCAACCUGGGGACCCCUUCCCUCCGGGCCAUGGACACAUACAUGAAAACCAGGCCGCAUCGACUGUCAGCACCACUGUGGCAUCUUCCAGUACGAGACCAUCUCCUGCAACAACUGCACAGACUCGCACGUCGCCUGCUUUGGCUAUAACUGCGAGUAGGGCUCAGGCAUCACACCCACCCGUGCCACGGCCCUGCUGUCCCUGGGGUCCCAGGCUCUCCUUGGAGGGGGCUCCCCGCCUUCUACCUGGCCCUCGUCAUCGGGAUAGGGCGGGGCCGGGGGUUCAGGCCACACCACUUCCAAGCCUGCGUCCCACAGGUCCUCGCAGCAGUGGGAGUCGGCUGUCCAGGGCCUCCUGAGCUACAUAAAUAACUGGCACAAGUAAGUCCCCUCCUCAAACCGACACAGGCAGUGUGCGUAUGUGAGCACCUCGUGGGUGAGUAUGUGUGGGGCACAGGCUGGCUCCCUCAGCUCCCACGUCCUAGAGUGGCUCCUGAGGAGGUGGAACCUCAACCCAGCUCUGCGCAGGAGGCGGCUGCAGUCCCUUUCUCCCUCAAAGGUCUCCGGCCCUCAGCUGGAGGCGGGGCAUCCUUCCUAAAGGGUCCCCAUAGGGUCUGGUUCCACCCUGUCCCAGGUCUGUGGUCAGAGCCUGGGAGGGUUCCCUACGAUGGUUAGGGGUGCCCCAUGGAGGGGCUGACUACCCCACAUUGCCUUUCAGACAGGAUACGAGCAUGAGGUAAGGCCGCCCUGACCUGGCCUUCAGGGGGAGGGGGUAAAGGAAGAGAGGAGGGGGGCUAGGGGGUCCUCUAGGUCAGUGGGGGCACCGCAGGUGGGGCUCUCCCUAUACCUGGGACACCUGCUGGAUGUCACCUCUGCAACCACACCCAUGUGGUGCUUUCAUGAACAAACCACGCUCCUCCUCCUUCUCCUGGCCUGGGACACACAGAGCCACCCCAGCCUUGUGAGUGACCCGGAGAAGGGAGGCCUCAGGAGAAGGGGUGCUCCUAAGCCAACACCAGCGUGCCGCGGCCCCCACACCCUUCUGAAAUCCCAGGCACACGGGUGUCGUGGAUGUGGCCACACAUAGGACCACACGUCCCAGCUGGGAGGAGAGGGCUGGGGCCUCCAGGGAGGGAGGCAGGGGGUGGGGGACAUGGAGAGCUGAGGCAGCCUCGUCUCCCCGCAGCCUGGUAUCGCCGGCCUUAAGGUGUCUGGAGCCCCCACACCUGGCCAACCUGACCUUGGAAGAUGCUGCCGAGUGUCUCAAGCAGCACUGACAGCAGCUGGGCCUGCCCCAGGGCAACGUGGGGGCGGGGACUCAGCUGGACAGCCCCCACCUGUCCCUCUGGAGCUGGGCUGCUGCUGCCUCAGGACCCCCCCUUCAACCCUGGACAGAGCUGAGCUGGCCAGGGCCGGGAGGGCGGGAGGGCGGGAAUGGGGGUGGGUUGUGCGCAGCGUCAGCGCCUGGGCAGGUCCUCGGAGCUGCAGUAUGUGAUGAUUAAAGUCUCUGAUGUUUCUC
rnacentral:sRNA from 1 species